GUCGAGGGGUAGAGUUCUUCGGAGCUUGAGACCGGCGCACGGGUGCGUAACGCGUAUGCAAUCUACCUUUUACAGAGGGAUAGCCCAGAGAAAUUUGGAUUAAUACCUCAUAGUAUAAUUGAAUGGCAUCAUUUAAUUAUUAAAGUCACAACGGUAAAAGAUGAGCAUGCGUCCCAUUAGCUAGUUGGUAAGGUAACGGCUUACCAAGGCUACGAUGGGUAGGGGUCCUGAGAGGGAGAUCCCCCACACUGGUACUGAGACACGGACCAGACUCCUACGGGAGGCAGCAGUGAGGAAUAUUGGACAAUGGGCGCAAGCCUGAUCCAGCCAUGCCGCGUGCAGGAUGACGGUCCUAUGGAUUGUAAACUGCUUUUGUACAGGAAGAAACACUGGUUCGUGAACCAGCUUGACGGUACUGUAAGAAUAAGGAUCGGCUAACUCCGUGCCAGCAGCCGCGGUAAUACGGAGGAUCCAAGCGUUAUCCGGAAUCAUUGGGUUUAAAGGGUCCGUAGGCGGUUUGGUAAGUCAGUGGUGAAAGCCCAUCGCUCAACGGUGGAACGGCCAUUGAUACUGCUAGACUUGAAUUAUUAGGAAGUAACUAGAAUAUGUAGUGUAGCGGUGAAAUGCUUAGAGAUUACAUGGAAUACCAAUUGCGAAGGCAGGUUACUACUAAUAUAUUGACGCUGAUGGACGAAAGCGUGGGUAGCGAACAGGAUUAGAUACCCUGGUAGUCCACGCCGUAAACGAUGGAUACUAGCUGUUGGGCGCAAGUUCAGUGGCUAAGCGAAAGUGAUAAGUAUCCCACCUGGGGAGUACGUUCGC
rnacentral:rRNA from 1 species